GACGAACGCUGGCGGCGUGCCUAAUACAUGCAAGUCGAGCGAAUGGAAGGGAGCUUGCUCCCUGAAGUUAGCGGCGGACGGGUGAGUAACACGUGGGCAACCUGCCUGUAAGACUGGGAUAACUUCGGGAAACCGGAGCUAAUACCGGAUACGUUCUUUUCUCGCAUGAGGAAAGAUGGAAAGAUGGUUUCGGCUAUCACUUACAGAUGGGCCCGCGGCGCAUUAGCUAGUUGGUGGGGUAAUGGCCCACCAAGGCGACGAUGCGUAGCCGACCUGAGAGGGUGAUCGGCCACACUGGGACUGAGACACGGCCCAGACUCCUACGGGAGGCAGCAGUAGGGAAUCUUCCGCAAUGGACGAAAGUCUGACGGAGCAACGCCGCGUGAGCGAAGAAGGCCUUCGGGUCGUAAAGCUCUGUUGUCAGGGAAGAACAAGUGCCAGAGUAACUGCUGGCACCUUGACGGUACCUGACCAGAAAGCCACGGCUAACUACGUGCCAGCCGCCGCGGUAA
rnacentral:rRNA from 1 species